GGUCGAGGUAUCGAUAAGCUUGCCAUGGGUACGGGGAGCAGCAGGCGCGAAACCUUUACACUGCACGCCAGUCGGAUAAGGGGACUCCAAGUGCGAGGGCAUAUAGUCCUCGCUUUUUGCKACCGUWAGGUGGUCGCGGAAUAAGUGCUGGGCAAGACCGGUGCCAGCYGCCGCGGUAAUACCGGCAGCACGAGUGAUGACCGCUGUUAUUGGGCCUAAAGCGUCCGUAGCUGGCCGCGCAAGUCUAUCGGGAAAUCUCUUCGCUUAACGGAGAGGCGUCCGGUGGAAACUGUGUGGCUUGGGACCGGAAGACCAGAGGGGUACGUCUGGGGUAGGAGUGAAAUCCCGUAAUCCUGGACGGACCACCGGUGGCGAAAGCKCCUCUGGAAGACGGAUCCGACGGUGAGGGACGAAAGCUCGGGUCACGAACCGGAUUAKAUACCCGGGUAGUCCGAGCUGUAAACGAUGUCUGCUAGGUGUGACACAGGCUACGAGCCUGUGUUGUGCCGUAGGGAAGCCGUGAAGCAGACCGCCUGGKAAGUACGUCCGCAA
rnacentral:rRNA from 1 species